rnacentral:rRNA from 1 species
GGGAUAUUGCACAAUGGGGGGAACCCUGAUGCAGCGACGCCGCGUGGGCGAUGGAGUGCUUCGGCAUGUAAAGCCCUAUCAGCAGGGAAGAAAAUGACGGUACCUGACUAAGAAGCCCCGGCUAAAUACGUGCCAGCAGCCGCGGUAAUACGUAUGGGGCAAGCGUUAUCCGGAUUUACUGGGUGUAAAGGGAGCGUAGACGGCGAAGAAAGUCUGAAGUGAAAGCCCGCGGCUUAACCGCGGAACUGCUUUGGAAACUUUUUUGCUGGAGUACCGGAGAGGUAAGCGGAAUUCCUAGUGUAGCGGUGAAAUGCGUAGAUAUUAGGAGGAACACCAGUGGCGAAGGCGGCUUACUGGACGGUAACUGACGUUGAGGCUCGAAAGCGUGGGGAGCAAACAG